rnacentral:rRNA from 1 species
AUUGAACGCUGGCGGCAGGCCUAACACAUGCAAGUCGAACGGCAGCGGGGGGUAGCUUGCUACCCCGUCGGCGAGUGGCGGACGGGUGAGUAAUGCCUGGGGAGCUGCCCAAUCGAGGGGGAUACCAGUUGGAAACGACUGCUAAUACCGCAUACGCCCUGAGGGGGAAUGGUGGGGAUCUUCGGACCUACCGCGAUUGGAUGCACCCAGGUGGGAUUAGCUAGUUGGUGAGGUAACGGCUCACCAAGGCGACGAUCUCUAGCUGGUCUGAGAGGAUGACCAGCCACACUGGAACUGAGCCAUGGUCCAGACUCCUACGGGAGGCAGCAGUGGGGAAUAUUGCACAAUGGGGGAAACCCUGAUGCAGCCAUGCCGCGUGUGUGAAGAAGGCCUUAGGGUUGUAAAGCACUUUCAGUGGGGAGGAAAGGGUGGAAGCUAAUACCUUUCAUCUGUGACGUUACCCACAGAAGAAGCACCGGCUAACUCCGUGCCAGCCGCCGCCGUAAUAC